ensembl:snRNA U6 U6 spliceosomal RNA
GUGCUUGCUUUGACAGCACAUAUACUAAAAAAUUGGAAUGAUACAGAGAAGAUUAGCAUGGCCCCUGUGCAAGGAUGACAUACAAAUUCAUGAAGCAUUCCAUUAAAAA